GACGAACGCUGGCGGCGUGCCUAAUACAUGCAAGUAGAACGCUGAAGAGAGGAGCUUGCUCUUCUUGGGUGAGUUGCGAACGGGUGAGUAACGCGUAGGUAACCUGCCUUGUAGCGGGGGAUAACUAUUGGAAACGAUAGCUAAUACCGCAUAACAAUGGAUAACACAUGUCAUUUAUUUGAAAGGGGCAAUUGCUCCACUACAAGAUGGACCUGCGUUGUAUUAGCUAGUAGGUGAGGUAAUGGCUCACCUAGGCGACGGUACAUAGCCGACCUGAGAAGGGGGACCGCCCACACUGGAACGAGACCCCGCUCCGAACUCUUACGGAAGCAGCAGUAGGGAAACCUUGGCAAAGGGGGCAACGCUGAACGGGCCACGGCGCGGGGGGUGAGAAGGGUUUCGGAUCCGAAAGCUCCGUUGUUUGUCAAGAAAGGGAGUUAGAGUUGAAAGUGCACACUGUGACGGUAGCUUAUCAGAAAGCCACGGCUAACUACGUG
rnacentral:rRNA from 1 species